rnacentral:misc_RNA from 1 species
GACACAUCUUCUCAAGGAUCUGUCGAGUAAUCAGCUGCACCGAUCUGUUAAGCCUCCGAUAUUCUCGUCUUUUGGUGAUAUCGCAUUGGCUAUUGGGGAGAAAUUCGAGAAAUACUUAGUUUAUGCAAUGCCUAUGCUUCAGAGUGCAGCAGAGCUGUCUGCGCAAGCUGUAGCUUCAGACGAUGAAAUCAUUGACUACACCAACCAACUCAGGAGUGGAAUCUUGGAAGCAUACUCGG